CUGAGUCAAUGUAAUUGGGAGGAUUUGAGCCAAAUGACAUGCAGCUAGGUCAUUCUGUGUCUAAUCAGACUAAAUCCAGGAAAACAACUGCACCCUCUUAAAUUUUUCUCAAGGUUUAUGCUAACCUUAAUGUCAGUCUUUUCACACGUUUUUUUCCAGAUCUAGGGCAUGCAGUACAAACUUGUAAUGGUUCAGUCAUAUUGACAUGUUUGUCUUCCACCCUACAAAGUUUGUGCUGCCUUAUUGUCCAGAUAUUGCUUCCCAGAUAAUGUGAUUUUCAGGCUGUAAAACUAAAGUAAUUUCAAGGGCU